rnacentral:tRNA from 1 species
UGUCCAGGGAUGGGAAUCAAACCCACAAUGUUCCGUACUGGGCAGAUGCCAUGUCCACUAGGCUACCCUAAGC